GUCGCUAGAAAAAAUUCGGCUGUCUAAUUGUGGCCUGUUACGAAGUCUAUUGCUGUACCUCGUUUUGUAAGUCCCCAAGUACUACACGUAAUUUUUAUUAGCAAUACCCUAGAUUUUCACAUGCACUACGAGGAAUCACAGCAUGUCUACAGUAACUGGUAAAGUAAAAUUCUUUAACGAAGCUAAAGGUUUCGGUUUCAUCGAGCAAGAGCAAGGCGCUGACGUAUUCGUACAUUUCUCAGCUAUCCAAUCAGACGGUUUCAAAACCUUAGCUGAAGGCCAAACUGUUCAGUUCACUAUUGAGCAAGGUCCUAAAGGCCCACAGGCUUCUAACGUAGUUCCUAUGUAAUUACGUUUCUUCUAGCGAAGAAUUCCCAAAGGCCGCUCAUUGAGCGGCCUUUUUUA
rnacentral:sRNA from 1 species